rnacentral:misc_RNA from 1 species
GAUGAAGAACGCAGCGAAAUGCGAUACUUGGUGUGAAUUGCAGAAUCCCGUGAACCAUCGAGUCUUUGAACGCAAGUUGCGCCCGAAGCCUCGGCUAAGGGCACGUCUGCCUGGGCGUCACGCAUCGCGUCUCCCCCAAACCGCCAAGGCGGAAGGGAAGGAAGAUGGCUUCCCGUGCCUCACCCGGCGCGGUUGGCCUAAAUUUGGAGCCCGCGGCACUUAGCUCUCGCGGCGAUAGGUGGUGAACAAGGCCUUGGCCGUGCAAACAACCCGCUGCGAAGCUCUAUGUCACGUGCGCUCGUCGGACCCUUUGAAGUUGCCUUCGGUGACUUAAAACCUUUGCGACCCCAGGUCAGGCGGGGCUACCCGCUGAAUUUAAGCAUAUCAAUAAGCGGAGGA